rnacentral:rRNA from 1 species
CGAGUUAUCAGAACCUUCGGGGGACGAUAACGGCGUCGAGCGGCGGACGGGUGAGUAAUGCCUAGGAAAUUGCCCUGAUGUGGGGGAUAACCAUUGGAAACGAUGGCUAAUACCGCAUGAUGCCUACGGGCCAAAGAGGGGGACCUUCGGGCCUCUCGCGUCAGGAUAUGCCUAGGUGGGAUUAGCUAGUUGGUGAGGUAAGGGCUCACCAAGGCGACGAUCCCUAGCUGGUCUGAGAGGAUGAUCAGCCACACUGGAACUGAGACACGGUCCAGACUCCUACGGGAGGCAGCAGUGGGGAAUAUUGCACAAUGGGCGCAAGCCUGAUGCAGCCAUGCCGCGUGUGUGAAGAAGGCCUUCGGGUUGUAAAGCACUUUCAGUCGUGAGGAAGGUAGUGUAGUUAAUAGCUGCAUUAUUUGACGUUAGCGACAGAAGAAGCACCGGCUAACUCCGUGCCAGCAGCCGCGGUAAUACGGAGGGUGCGAGCGUUAAUCGGAAUUACUGGGCGUAAAGCGCAUGCAGGUGGUUUGUUAAGUCAGAUGUGAAAGCCCGGGGCUCAACCUCGGAAUUGCAUUUGAAACUGGCAGACUAGAGUACUGUAGAGGGGGGUAGAAUUUCAGGUGUAGCGGUGAAAUGCGUAGAGAUCUGAAGGAAUACCGGUGGCGAAGGCGGCCCCCUGGACAGAUACUGACACUCAGAUGCGAAAGCGUGGGGAGCAAACAGGAUUAGAUACCCUGGUAGUCCACGCCGUAAACGAUGUCUACUUGGAGGUUGUGGCCUUGAGCCGUGGCUUUCGGAGCUAACGCGUUAAGUAGACCGCCUGGGGAGUACGGUCGCAAGAUUAAAACUCAAAUGAAUUGACGGGGGCCCGCACAAGCGGUGGAGCAUGUGGUUUAAUUCGAUGCAACGCGAAGAACCUUACCUACUCUUGACAUCCAGAGAACUUUCCAGAGAUGGAUUGGUGCCUUCGGGAACUCUGAGACAGGUGCUGCAUGGCUGUCGUCAGCUCGUGUUGUGAAAUGUUGGGUUAAGUCCCGCAACGAGCGCAACCCUUAUCCUUGUUUGCCAGCGAGUAAUGUCGGGAACUCCAGGGAGACUGCCGGUGAUAAACCGGAGGAAGGUGGGGACGACGUCAAGUCAUCAUGGCCCUUACGAGUAGGGCUACACACGUGCUACAAUGGCGCAUACAGAGGGCUGCCAACUUGCGAAAGUGAGCGAAUCCCAAAAAGUGCGUCGUAGUCCGGAUUGGAGUCUGCAACUCGACUCCAUGAAGUCGGAAUCGCUAGUAAUCGUGGAUCAGAAUGCCACGGUGAAUACGUUCCCGGGCCUUGUACACACCGCCCGUCACACCAUGGGAGUGGGCUGCAAAAGAAGUAGGUAGUUUAACCUUCG